AGGAUGUUACCAAGCACGGUAUCAAAACGUCUGUGGAACAUCAACCCCGUUCAGCGAGCCAACCAACCUCAACACAUAUUUCGCAAUUAUAUCCUUAUGAGCUUUACAAAAUUGAAGAGGAAUGCACAAAAUGACAGAGAUGCUGUCAGAGCUGCUGAGCAUGUCAAGAAUUUUCUGCUUCUAUUUCAUUUUGAAAACCUGAUGGAAACUUAGAUCCAACAAUGUCGCAAGGUGUGGGGUCACAUUAACUAUCCUUCAAUAAAUAGGAGUUGUUCCAGAGUCUACAGAAUCUGGGGGUGCAGUCAUUGGUGCUAUUGUGCAGUUCUGCUGGAGGCUGCUUGAAGAAAAUUAAGUUUCCUCUGCUACGAGCAAGUGCAUGUCAACCUAAGCAACACAUCCAGUAACUUUUGUUGGAAAAAUUAAUGAAAUUAAGAUGACAAAAUUCUGAAUGAUGCAAUGUAAA